CACAGCAUGCGCAGAGUUGAUACGUAAUACGUAUCUCGUAGGUUAUGAUGAGGAACUGUGACGACGAAUUUGAAGUUUUGUUUCGAAAUUCUCUUGCUAUGGUUAGAAUGGUUUAAUAACUUUGAGUAUACAUCUAGAAAAUGUGUAAUGUACUGAUAACUCGCUUCAUGGAUACUCCAAAGGAAAGGACUACAGGCUGGAAGAGAACACACUGUGCUCUGGCUUGUAAAUGAAGACUACGGCUAAUUUGAAGCUGCAGAUGGAAGACUACGGAAACAUAUGCUUUAUUUCUCGCAGCUGCUCUGCAUUAAUAGAAACACUGGUUAAUCGAGUUUUAGUUAUGGACAAUUUCAGUGUCGAGAUUGUCCAUGGUGCAGACCGUGAUAAAAUAAGUGACUGUGGGAAUGAGGGCUUUGCAGUGGCACACGAUAUUGUCUUAGUCUUACGUGGAGAAUGUUCUCAAAUCCUUACUCACCCUUCUUGAUAUAUUUUGUGCAAACAGACUUCAAAUGUUUCUCAAAAACAUUUAUUGAAUCAGGCCAUCAGUAGCUGCAGUAAUAUUAAAGUUUGAAAUCCUUCAGUGAUACACAACUGUCUCUGUUUGGGAGUAAUAGUUACAGAGGUCUGGAAACCAAAAUUAUGCAUCAUGAUUUAGUAAAUACAUGACAAAUUAAUUGCUACAUGUAAAACUAGAGAGCAACUCUUGGAAAAAUGAAGUAACUGAAAAUGGGCCUUUUAAUGUGGAAUGAUGCAUUGGAUUUAAAUUUACAUCAGGUGUUCUGAGAUCGGAAACAGAAUAACUAGAAUACUGGGCAUAGCUUGUUUUUAUACAAGAAAAUUCAGCAUUAGUGAAGUAUGACAGUGGCCAGACAGCAAUUUCUGAAGUAUCCGAGGAGUUUUCUGUAAAGUGUGAGAGAAUGGAGGGCCAUCACCAAGAAAUUGUUGCAGAGUUACACCUGACACAAAACAAUAGUGAGAAUCUAAUGCAUGACGUCACUUCAGUGGAAAUAGGGAUGACUUGAGGAAAAUUUGAAGUAGAAUACACAAGUAGUUAAAUGAUUACAUACUGUCUUGACCCCACAACUUAAAGAGAACUGCAGGUUUUUAACUGUCUAAUUCAGAUCUAGUGGGUAGGAAGCAGAUUAUGGUGGUAAAUUAAUGUUAAGCAACUAUAAAGUUACAUGGCUAGGAGAUACUCAAGAUUAAAUUCAGCUGCCUGAUCAGAAAGGGGUGGUCUUUUUAAACUUCACACACAGUCAACUCUCGUUUUUGCAAAGUGAGAGAGUUGUCAUAAUUAUAUCUGUUGUGGGUGACUAUAAUGGGAGUAUUUUUAUAGUGUACCUUCAUAUACGUGUUCUAUGAUGUUCGAAGAAGGGAAAGGAUGAAAUCCAAAGUGGGCACAUAACCUACCCCUUGUGUGUGUGGGCCCUACACACUUAAUGUCCCCAUCCAGUGUAUGGGCAACCAUCAAUAUGCCCUCACUCUGAAAUAAGAGAUGUUUGGAAUUUAAUCUAGACUGUUGACAAAAAUUCUACUGAUCAUUAGCUUCAUGUCUCCACCUCUCCUUCCCCUUCCAGCCUAAAACUAGAAGUGAAUAUUUCUUCCACUGCCACGAUUCAAACCACUGCCUCAGCAUCCAGUGCAGUCACACAAGUGUCUGUUGGUGACCUUUGCAACAGAGAUGGGCUUUGGAUAAUGUUAACAUUUGUGAUAUGGUUUUAAAAAAAGCUAGACCUUAUGAGGUUGUAAAUGCAGCUUCAGUACAGAAGAUAAAAUUUGUGCCAUAAAUUUGCAAGUAAGUGUUUUCUGGUUAGAGAAAAAGUUUGAGAUUUAAGUUUGUAAUUUGGUAAUUUUGCAGUUUUGCUCCAAAAAUAAUAAACAAAAGAAAAUGAAUGUAA